GCCUUCGUGGUGUAGUGGUCAACACGCUCGGCACGUAUUCGAGAGGUGGUUCAAGUCCCGGCGAGGGCG
rnacentral:tRNA from 1 species